rnacentral:rRNA from 1 species
GAUGAACGCUGGCGGCGUGCCUAAUACAUGCAAGUCGAGCGAACGGACGAUAAGCUUGCUUCUCUGAUGUUAGCGGCGGACGGGUGAGUAACACGUGGAUAACCUACCUAUAAGACUGGGAUAACUUCGGGAAACCGUAGCUAAUACCGGCUAAUAUUUUGUACCGCAUGGUUCAAAAGUGAAAGACGGUCUUGCUGUCACUUAUAGAUGGAUCCGCGCUGCAUUAGCUAGUUGGUAAGGUAACGGCUUACCAAGGCAACGAUGCAUAGCCGACCUGAGAGGGUGAUCGGCCACACUGGAACUGAGACACGGUCCAGACUCCUACGGGAGGCAGCAGUAGGGAAUCUUCCGCAAUGGGCGAAAGCCUGACGGAGCAACGCCGCGUGAGUGAUGAAGGUCUUCGGAUCGUAAAACUCUGUUAUUAGGGAAGAACAUAUGUGUAAGUAAAUGUGCAUAUCUUGACGGUACCUAAACAGAAAGCAACGGCUAACUACGUG